GUUACUGUAGCUUAAUACAGAAAGCAAGGCACUGAAAAUGCUAAUGUGAGUCAUUAGACUCCAUAAGCA
rnacentral:tRNA from 1 species